CCUCACUGAAGCCGGGUUUCGUUAACAGCGGGCUGUCAUUUCGAAAUCAACAAGUUCGUUGUCGACGAAACCUGCAUGCUGUGUGG
rnacentral:pre_miRNA from 1 species